AUAAUUCAUCUUGUCUCUCUCACUUUUCCCUUCCAUUUUUUCUCCCUCUCCCUUGUUUACUCCACUCCUUGCCCAGAAUCUCAAAUACUUUCUCAAGAAAACUUAUAAACCAGAUCCGAAGUUCACCCUUCAAACCCAUUCCCCUUAUUCUUGCCGCAAAUCCCGUCCCCUACUGGAUUCUAUCUCUCUUGCUUCUCAACAAAAGCACCCUUCAUUUCCCUCAAAAACCCUUCUUUUCUCUCCACUUUCUAUUCCUAACUUUCCUGAGAAAAAUGUAUUUCCAUCAUUCCAAUCCGAUUCAUUGAUUUUGUGGGUUUUGCUUAGUUUUAGAAGCUGCCUUUUGCUUUGCUUUGUGCACUUAGAUUUUUGAUCGGUCACAAAUUUUUCCUUCAAAUUUGGGGUUUUUUUUUUUGCUUGCACGACUGGUGUACAGUGAUAUGCUCGGGUUAUUUAUUGUUGUGUUUGUAUAUAAAUUUGAUGGAUCUUAGAGGUACUCUUGACGGAUAAGCAGCUAGGUUUUCCAAUAGGGACUUACAACAAAGGAGUUCCAGUUCCUUCCGUGCAUUGAAUUGGAUUGUGAGCUAAUUUAGUGAAAGAGGGUGUCUUUUAUUUUUGUAAUUUGUUGAGAUCAUGGAUCAUGUUGUCGCUGGCAAAUUUAAGCUGGGUCGCAAGAUCGGCAGCGGAUCAUUUGGUGAACUAUAUUUAGGAGUUAACGUACAAACUAGAGAGGAAGUGGCUGUCAAGCUGGAAUCAGUGAAGACCAAGCACCCUCAGCUUCAUUAUGAGUCGAAACUGUACGUGCUUCUUCAAGGAGGAACUGGUAUUCCCCAUCUCAAAUGGAUUGGUGUGGAGGGCGACUAUAAUGUUAUGGUUAUUGACCUUCUCGGACCAAGCCUAGAGGACUUAUUUAAUUAUUGUAAUCGGAAGUUCUCACUGAAGACAGUUUUAAUGCUUGCUGAUCAGUUGUUAAACAGAGUUGAGUACAUGCACUCACGAGGUUUUCUUCAUCGUGAUAUAAAGCCUGACAAUUUUUUAAUGGGCUUAGGGCGUAAAGCAAAUCAGGUCUACGUAAUUGAUUUUGGUCUCGCAAAGAAGUACCGGGAUCUUCAAACACACAAGCAUAUACUGUACAGGGAGAACAAGAAUCUCACAGGAACAGCACGCUAUGCUAGUGUUAAUACUCAUCUUGGGAUUGAGCAAAGCAGACGAGAUGAUCUCGAAUCCCUUGGUUAUGUGCUGAUGUAUUUUUUGAGGGGAAGCCUUCCCUGGCAGGGUUUGAAAGCAGGUACUAAAAAACAGAAGUACGACAAGAUUAGUGAGAAGAAGAUGCUUACUCCGAUUGAGGUUCUUUGUAAAUCAUAUCCGUCUGAGUUCACGUCUUAUUUCCAUUAUUGCCGAUCACUGCGGUUUGAAGACAAACCAGAUUAUUCAUACCUGAAGAGACUUUUCCGGGACCUGUUUAUUCGAGAAGUUUAUCAAUUUGACUAUGUAUUUGACUGGACCAUAUUGAAGUAUCCGCAGAUUGGGUCUAGCACUAGACCUCGGCCAAGUGCCAAACCAGCUAUGGCUCCAGGACCAUCUGUAGAAAGAAUUGAAAGGCCCUCAGGUUUGUUUAUUCUCUGAGGAGUGUUGAGUGCAAUUUUUUGCCCUUAUGAACUCUUAUUGCUGAUUUAUAGUUGUAAUUCUCCUCAUAUUGGCUUGUACUCUUAGUUCUAUAGUACUCGGUGUUUCUCAGUUCAAAUUUUAGAUUUAUCCUUCUAUGGAGUCUUUGGAUUUUCUAGUCACUUAAUAGGGUUUCACUUUCCCAUGCUGUGUUAUCUUAAAUAUUUUUAUAUCCUAGGAGAAGACAGUGUCCAAUGUCUAUCGCUCCAGGAACCUGUAGAAAGAAUUGGGAUUAACACUAUAUGCACCCCAAAAAUAACUAAGUACACCCCAAUAUUAGUGCACCACAUUUAAAAAUAUAGCAUUCCGUUGUACACACCUUUUUCUAAUUUGGAGUAAAAACACACCCCAUCUCAAACCCUAAAUCUCAACCCUGCCAUGGCAACACCUUCUUCUCUCUUCUUCUUGUAGCCCAAAGAAUACAGAUCAAUGGAGUCUAGAUUGCAAACAGAGGCAAGUCGUGUUUAACACAUCAUAGAGAGAGGGGAAGAGACGGGGAGAUUGCCUAAGAAUGUAAUUAAUGGGUACACAAAACAAUUAACCCCACCAGAGCACUCUCUUCUUCUUCUCUCUGGUGACUUUUCUUACAAAUAGGCCUCCUCUCAAAUUCGGGACCACCACCCCCUCCGCCUCUACAUGAAGUUGUCCUCGAAGUCGAAUCAAGACGGAGCCAAUUAAGACUGCCAAGAAAGAGUUCAAUAAGCUAGAGGACCGAGUUGAAAGCGAGUCAAGAACAGAAUCGAAGACCGAGUUGGUUGUGAAGCCAUUGAAGCUUCUGAUUUAAAGUGCCGUAGUCUCCGUCAAAACUGUCGAAGGUAAGUGAAGAAGAAGAAGGAGACGAGUUAGGGCGGCUGAAGCUUUGAAGGAUGAAGUUUUAGGGUUUCAUGGUAGAAGGAGAUUUGGGCUGAAAAUGGUAGGGACGGUGGGGUGUCUAAAGAUUGGGUUUUUUCACGAUAUUUUGGGGUGUACUUAGUAAAACGUGAGGUGCAAAUAGUCCUACUCAAGUAUUUGCCCUCAGGUUUGUUUGUUCCCUGUGGUGUGCUGAGUGUUUUUUCCCGUAUUCAUCAAAAGAAGUGCUGAUUUUGUAAUUCUCCUUGUAUUGGCUUGUAGUUUUCGUUGUGUGGUACUUGGUGUUCUCUGUCAGUUCAAAUUUUAGAUUAUCUUUCUAUAAAGUCUUUGGAUUUUCUAGUGCACUUAAUAGGUUUCACUUUUACCAUACUGCAUUAUUUUAAAUAUUUUUCUACCCCAAGAGAAGACGAUGCCCAAUAUAAUUUUUUCAUGCCAUGUGAACAUAAAUUGUAUAUUUAUCAUGUUAGACAUCUUACUCUUGU